UUCUGCCAAGGAUUGGUUCAGAGGUGGUCACGUGUUUUAUGGACGCCAUUUUUACUACCAAAAGUACUUUUGACUAGAAUGCUUUCUAAUGCUUUCAGAUGGCAGUGUUUGAGUAUCGUUGGCAUUAAGUCUUAAUAUCUUCACCAUACAGCGACCCAUUUUCUCACUGGACACUUUUCUGAUAACGUUAACAUUAUAACGUUUACGUCAUAAGCAUUUUUAGUGAUAAGACUCGUUAAGACAUUUGCAGCACGGAUUUUGUUUCUAACUACCCGGAGAGAUGCCACUUCUGGAGGAGCAGCGAAUACAUCAUACAUCGUUCGUCUUAACCUUGUCUAAAAGGAAAACGGUUGGAACAACUCUGAUGUAGGUAGAGAAGAGUCAGUGGCUGGUGAAGUAAGAGGAUACAGCUGUCUGCUGAUUCAAGGUCCCUGCCCCGUCGCCUCAACAUCCUCAAGAUCCUGUAGGCUACUGCUGCUGCUCCUUGCUUCAGCACCUUUCCCCUGAUGCCUGACACCCCUCAUCACCAAAUCAGCCCAGUCAACAUGGACCCAACAUGGACCCAAGUCUCCACCACAGUGUGCACAAUACACUAUACACAGACAGGGACGAGAACAAAGGUACAAUUGGUCUGAGGGGAGGACACCGCAGACAGCUGAUCAACUCCAUGUCAUCUAAUCAGGCCAUGUAAAGGACCAUGAAGGGAUGGACUUGGUGGAGGACAACAAUGUGACACCCGAA